rnacentral:lncRNA from 1 species
UCAGCAAAUUCUUUUUAUUAUAACCUAAGUUUCUAUCUUGCAUCUUUAAGGAGUACCUUUCAAAACACAAACCCCACUCCUAUUAACAUGUAAUUAUCGUUUUCUUUACUGUUUAAUGCUUUCUUAUAUAAAUACUGCAAUGUCAUCUAAAUCUCUAUUAUGUUCUAUAAAGCACUGAGCACAGUAAUUAUAAAUCAACUCAAGUACUUAACAGCAAUACACCAUAUGACUAAUAGCUUCUGACACACGAAGUUAUACAAAAAAAUUUUUAUUAAGUACAGUUUCAAAUUUAGAGCUUCCACGCUUACAAAUGUGAUUGGAUAUUUAGGAUACAUAAUUUAUUCUUAAAAUACACAACUUAUAUACAGAUAUUAAAAACUCAGUCUCCAAAAUGCUCAAUAAAGAUGUCUGGGUGACACUUAUAGAAUUGACCUAGCAAUUUUUUCUUCUCUUUGGCAGAAAGUUUUGAAUCCUCAUCAAGAGUUUUUAGUAAAUUCAACAGCUCAUCUUUGGUUGUCUUCUCUGUAUUGUUGGAAUAGUCACGUUGAUCAAUUCUCUGGCAAUAAAUAUAUCCUUAAAGUUUAAAAGUAAAAAGUUCAGUUAAUGACUCAAUUCCU